rnacentral:tRNA from 4 species
GCCUGAGUGGUGAAAUUGGUAGACACAGCGGACUUAAAAUCCGCCGCUUACCCGAGAGGGGGCGUACCGGUUCGAUUCCGGUCUCAGGCACCA